rnacentral:lncRNA from 1 species
ACACAGCAUGUCAAAGAAUGACUACGCUCUGGUUUUACACAUCCGUAUUUUUAAACAGCACAAAAUGGUUGUACUUCUCAAUAUCGAAAUCUGACUGGGGCCUCUCCUGCUUGACCUUGCCCUGGAGGCUGCUGUCCUUCCAUGGGUGGGUGCCCAGGCUGAGCUUGCACGGGCUCCUUCAUGUCCCCCUUGGUCAACCUAGGUGAAGAGGGGAAGAAUCCAGCUCCCACCAUGCACCUUAUUGACAGAAGCCUUCCUCAGAUGAAUAUUCAUGAGCAGCCUAAGUUUCUUUGGCUUUUCUGUUUACUAGUUUUAUUAGCUCUUGAGAGGGGAGAGAGAGAGAGAGAGAGAGAGAGACUGGGGGAGACAGAGAAAGAAGCUGGGUGCGGUGGCUCAUGCCUAUAAUCUCAGCACUUUGGGAGGCUGAGGCAGGAGGACUGCUUGAGCCCAGGAGUUCAAGACCAGCUGAGCAACAUAGCAAGAUCCCAUCUCCAUAAAAAAAGAAAAAUAAAAAUUGAAGAGAGAGAGAGAGAGAGAGAACUUUCCAUAAUUAAUAGAGAUAAGGUCAGCAAGAUAACUCUUUUUUGCUCUUUUCCUAAUUGCCCCUUCCUGGGGUGAUUCCUUUCCUAAAUGGGCCUCCUCUUAAUCCUCAAGCUAUUAUGAUAUAAAAAUUAAAGUGUGAUAUCCUGGCUCGCCCAUUUCCUAUUAAUGGAAUGACCUGUGGUAAUCAAUAGAGGAAAUGCAGGAAUGUUAACAGAUGUGUGGUUCUGUUUGAGAGUCUCCAAUUAAGUGAUAUGUCUUCAAGGUGGAAAGAUGAGAUCAUUUUGAAAUUAGUUUCUUUUUGGCUUUUUAAGUCUUUGGUUAUUAUCAAUUGCAUUAAAAAAACCAAUUGGAAAGGAAAAUCGAUCGGUGCUGAAUUCCUCCCCCACCUGAAGUCUUCAUGCUUCCUCAGGUGAUAGGAUGCUAGAGAGGAAAAUUUGGAAUUAGCUUUUAAAAGGAAGAGAAAUGACGGUGUAACCAUCUGCCAAAUACAUGGAAACAACAACAACAAAAACCUCAUCAUUCACCUGGCCUGGCAAAUAGGUUUGUGCAUUUUUUUUCUUUUCUGUCCACCCUGUUGUUUGUCAGAGGUUGACCAAGAACUUGUCCAAGGGCCAUUCCUGUGGUGUCAUUGGUUAGAGACUUUUUAACAAUUUCAAGUUCUGGUGAAAUACUGUGAGUAAAUAAAGAGAGAAUUUUGCCUGAGUUUAAGGGGCUUUCCUGGGAGGUAAUGUAUUUUGUGGCCUAACACUUCAUUACUUAGCCUGCAGAUCUGGUUUCUUUUGAAAACAAACCCUAAGUCUGGAACUUUCCAUGCUGAGAGUCCACGUCAGUUUCAAGAAGGCCUGGUAAGAUGUAGCUGAGUAAAAACGAGACUCAAUAUGAAUGAUUACUGCUGUUCUUUCUCACUGGGAAGCCUGGGGACGUCAAGGAUAAAAUGACCUUUUGUACAGUGGUGAUAUUUCUCCAUGUCUCAGCCUUUUUAUCAGCAUAACUAUGGCCAAACCCAGUGCUUUUGUGGAAAACAUUGGUAGCACCGUCAUCUCAGAAGUCUUUAUGUAACUUCCCAUAGUCAUGUCAGAGGAGAUGGGGAUACAAAUCAUCAAACGCUUCUCUUUGGAUUGUGCAAGUCAGCAAAUCAGCUCUGGCGAUUUCCAAAGAGCUAAGACUACCAUCCCUGGGUAUGGUCCCUGAGUCUUCUUUCCCCAUCCUCUACAGCCCCCACUCAAAGAAAGUGCCUCAAACAGAUGGAAUGACGCAGAGGUAGAAUUGCAAACUUCAGAAAUGCAUGCUUAAGAGGGCAGGUGAGCCGGGUGUGGAGGCUUACAUCUGUCUUCCCAGCACUUUGGGAGGCAGAGGAGAGUGGAUUGCUUAAGCCCAGAAGUUCCAGACCAGCCUGGGCAACAUGGCAAAACUCCAUCUUAAUGAAACAUGCAAAAAUUAGCUGGGUGUGGUGGUGCACGCCUAUAGACCCAGCUACUCAGGGAGGAUCACCUGUACCUUGGAGGUCAAGGCUGCAGUGAGCCAUGAUGGCACCACUGCACUCCAGCCUGGGCAGCUGAGCGAGACCCAAUUUCAAGAAAAAAAAAAAAGGCAUGUGAUUAUUUUCUUCCAACAUCCAUCUGUCCCCCAAGUGUUGUAGGUCCUUCUGCACAAAAGUUCCAUACCCUCCCUUCUCCUUUGGUUUUCUAAUUUAAGUGUGAUGAGUAGCAGCCAGCCAAGUGAAAGAAAGGCCUAGGGAUUUCAAAGGAAAGAUACAAGGCUGGCGGCAAAAAGGAAGGGCUUUCUCCUCACUGGGCCCUCUUCAGUGGCUUGAACUGUGAGACUCCUGGAGGUAUCAGCGCUUGGUUCAACCCUAAAAGAAGUUGCAUCAGACAUGGCAACUUUGGCCUGCUUUGCUUGUAUUCUCUGUGGCGAAUGGAGUAUUAAUAAGUGGCUCUCUGGGGAAGUUUGCGCAGCUCAUACUAGAAAACAAAUAGAUACGUAAAGUUCUUGAAUGAUGUAGAUGUGAUGCCAUAUCUGCUCUCCUUCCCAUAAUUUCAGAGAAAAAUCAAGGACGAUGUGUGGUGAACAUAAUUCCUCAUUUUUCCUUUAUCCAUGAAAUAUUUGCUUUAAAGCAGCAGCUAAAACCACAGGUUUUAGUGAGCAGAUUAUUACCUUUCUGAGAGACACAGAGAUUAAGAGAAUGGUCAGUUGCUUGCCACUGAGUAGGGAAAAGGGAGAAAAAUUAUGAUUCAAGGCAUUUUCUCUGCUUCCAGUUAGCUGCUGGGGGGGACUGGAUUAUGCUUCUCCAAUAUCUGAAGGGUUGUUGAGCUGAAGGCAGUAAGAAGCAAAUGCAGGAAAGCUCUCAUCUUCCCCUCUGGUUACCUAAAAGCAGGACAUAGAUUUACAAAGACAAAAGGUACCCUGGCCACCCCUCCUCCCGGAGAGAACAAAGGUUAACCACUGAAGGCAACUUUGUACUCUUAUUGGCCUGGAGAUGGAACCAGAGGAAUCUACAUUAACAAGCUUUACAAAUGAGCCUUUGACUGAUAGUUAUUUGCCCCCCUCCAAGUUACCACCCAUAAAGAUUCAAAAUCCUUUGCUUUUGUCUUGCCACUUUUUUACAAAUUUCAUAGCCAGCACGAUGGCUCAUGUGUGUAAUCCCAACAGUUUGGGAGGCUGAGGUGAGAGUAUGGCUUCAAAUCAGGAGUUUGAGACUAUCCUGGGCAACAUAGCAAGACCCUGUCUCAAAAAAAAAAAAAAAUUAGGCAGGCAUCGUGGUUCACACCUGUAGUCCCAAUUACUCAGGAGGCUGAGGUGGAGGGAUUGCCUGAGCCCAGGGUUCAAGACUGGCCUGUGCAAUAUAGCAAGACCCCAUCCCUAAAAAAUAAAAAACACCUAUCAGGGUGGGUGCAUGCCAGUAGCCUCAGCUACUCAGGAGGCUGAAGAGAGAGGAUCACUUGAGUCCAGCAGGUUGGGACAGCAGUGAGCUAUGAUUGUGUCUCUGUACUUCAGCCUGAGUGACAGAGCAAGACCCUGUCUCAAAAAAGAAAAAAAAAAGUUUACUAUUUGUUGUUGAAAAUGCUAUAUAAGCUGGAAUUCAAAGCCACCUCUUUGAGAAUUACUCAUUUUCUGGGUAUAUAUGAAAUAUACAUGGUAAUAUGUGACAUAUACAUGGUAAUAAACUUCUGUUUGUUUUUCUCUUGUUUUCUCUUGUCUUUUGUAACAGGGGUCCUUUCCAACCAAGAACCUAUGGGGUCUAGUCUUCCCCUACACUGCCUUUCACUCACCACUGGGCUGCCUGCUUUAAGCUAGGAAUCAAGAGACAGUGGCCUUCCACAGGUGCCUCGACAGGUGCCUCAGCUUCCAAACAGACACAGGAAGGACCCCAGCAUGUUUCAUGCACGGCCUUGGCAUAUCCAAAGAUUAAUGAAGAUGGAUCCAAAUCCUUACUACUAAGCAAAAAGCCUCCAAGCAAAUAACAAUGGACUGAAGAGUUACCUUUGUAGGCAUAAACGUAUCAUUACAAUUAAAGAGAUGUCAAAUGAGCCAGUUGUGUGCUAGAUAAUGCUGAGGCUCAGGACACACUACCACAAAACAUGGUACCUUUCCAUUUGAGAAAACAGCAGAAGCAGGAAAGUCACUCUCACCUUCCCCACUGCCCUUCUCCCCUGAAGCAGGUCCUAAAACCUGUGACGGAUUCUCUGACCUUCACCUAAGCAGGUCAUAAGACCCUCGUUAUUUGAGAGGUGCCCUCCUUGUACCUGGAGGAAGGGAAUGUCCCUAUCUCUGAAGACGGGCACAGGAAGAAUCUGAACAAACAGGCCUUCCUAACUUCCCCACAGUUAUUACCAUGAGGUCAGACCCCCUUUGUUCAAUCACACUUCUCCAUAACUGUCCAUUUCUUCCUCAAACCUAGCAUCAUAAAUACCAGGUUUCCUUGCUUCUUUGGAUCUUCCUUUCCUUAUGAAGGCUCCCAUGUCAUGUAAAACCUAUACAUACAUUUGUUUGCUUUUCUUUUGUUCAUCUGUCUUUUGGUACAGGGGCCUCAGUCAUGAACCCAGUGAAGGGUGACAAAAGAAAUAUUUUUUCCCCUAGAAUGCAAUAGCCCACUAGUGCUCUCAAAGAUGCUGGACUUCUCUGUGAUGUUAUUUAUCCAGGAACAUUGGAGAACUAAAGGUGAUAAGAAGAAAAGAGGCAUGGAAAGCCAAUAACACAGCCAGUACCUUUGGCCAAUUGAAGCUGGCCAACUUCAAGCUAUCACUGGGCCUUAAUAAUUGUACAAAGGGAUGGGCAGUUCUGGGGCUGCACCCACAUAUCUGUGAGCUCUGCUCGGCGGUGUUUUGAGGAUAACCCUUAUCCCAGAUUUUUCAAAGUAUUGUGGUCUUGAUGGCCAGUUUCUUACGUACUCCAGAUGACUACUGCCAUGCAUGAUUGCAAAGGCUGUGCAAAUAUCAAGGACGGUUAAGGUGCUGGCGCUUUUUGUGACUCAACCUCCUUUUUCUUCAAAUCUUUAUUUUAUUUUCCUUUCAUAAUGUAACCAAUCUUUCUCACAAAAAAUUGCUUUGGGUUGCAGUGGAGAAGAAUUUUAGGAUUUUCCCGACCUGUCUUAUAUUGCUCUUUAACAACUUGUGCCUAAACUAUGGAUUUUUUUUUUUUUUUUUGUCUUUUAAAGGUAUGGAGUGAAGAAUCAGUAGUUGGUCAAGGGGAAGUGUCACUGGAAAACCAAGAUCCCCAAAGGCUUAGUUUUUUCUUUUUUUCCUGCUAACAUCUCUAAAAAGAAUUUUCCUGCAGAGCAACAGUAACAUAAAUUGACAGACAGCUGAUGUGUGUUCUUAGCAGUUUCAUUCAUUGGACAGCCUUGGUGAUUAUUAUAUUUCUCUCUCUACGACACUUGACUCAUUUACCAGCCUCAUUCCUGGUGACGCGUGUGCUGAAACACGCAGCCAAGUGUUAGUACCAGGUGGGGUGAUAGGCCAGCUCCCUGCCAGUUGCAUUUAUUUAGAGUGAAGAGGACAACAUUGAAGUGGCAUGAACAAGGCCCAGGGAAGGCUCCCAGGAAGGAGCCAGUCGACAGAUGGCAAAAGAGACUCAGGGUAUCUUUUUGCACAGGGGUCUCCAAAUAGCCAGAGGAUCUGUGCUCAGGGCAUUAUAAACACAUCACCUUAUGUUACCUUCAUCUGUGUCUACCCAGCGGUAACUCUGAUUUUUUUUUAAAUUGUGUUUGCAGGUUAGCUGCUUCAUUUGGAAAAAACUAGGAAGAGCACCGUCACCUCAGCUUCAGCUCUCCUCUUGUUUUUUCUUGGUUCUCUCUGUUCUUGCCCACCAGCCCCAUGUGUCAGGUUUGAAUCUAGGCUGGUGAAUACAUUUUGCAGGAGAUGAUAUGUAACUAGGGUACCGCUUCUCUUUCAUCAUUAUUCACUUUUUAUUUCAUCAUUCUUCACUUUUUCCUUGGUCUGCUUUCAUCUAACUAGGGGUGCCUCGGCUGACAAGGUGGACUUCUCAAGUGAGAGGUUGUAUUUUCUCUCUUCUUUUAUUAGACAUGUGGAAGUUUGGGCUCAUAGGACUAAUUAGACUAUUGAGGAAGUGAUGGGUAAAAGUCUCACACACCUUUCUUUCUUCCUUGAUAGUGUAGGGGAAGAAAAAUCAUUUUUUUCUCCAAUCUUCAUAACUUCUUAGUUGGAAUGGACCCCUGUUACAAAAGACAGAUUAACAAUUGAAAAACAGUUUAUUAACGUGUAUUUCACAUACCCAGAAAAUGAGCCUCUCAAAUAGGUGGCUUUGGAUUCCAGCUUGUAUAGCAAGUUUAACAAUGAACAGUAAAAUUUUAAAAACAAGACAAAGGAAAAGAACUUUGAGUCUCUAGAGGCUGGUGGCAACUUGGAGGAGGGCAAAUAACUGUCAGAUAAAGGCUCACUAGUAAAGCUUGUUAAUGUAGAUUCCUCUCCAGGCCAAUAAGGGCCCAAAGUUGUCUUCUCCCUGGUAGGCAGUAUAUCUUUUGCAUUUUGGUAAAUACAGAGAGAGCAGAGAAAUUUCCUGUAUCAGCUUUUAAAUUGCCUUCAGCACAACAAUGCUUCAUAGUCUGGGGUGGCAUAUUUUGAUCUCCCACAAUAUGUAUCUUGAGGUUAUUUCUGGAGACAGAGGAGGCAGGCCUGUUGUGUUUUAAAGAGUGAUAUUUAUACAUGUGUAACAAAGAACAUAUUUUGCUGACUAUUUUUCACUCUAUGAACAGGUGGUCUUGCUGUGGGGCACUUCCUUGAAUCUUAAAUCGUUGAUUACACAUGAAAAUGUCUGCAUUGCAGACAGAGAGACAGCACUUAUGAAGAUGGGGUGGCAUUGAGAGGACUGGGAUGUUCUGGGAUACAAGAGUGAUCAGAGUACCUGGAGCUUGGGAGAGGAGAGGGGAGAGGAGAGGAGAGAGAAGGCUCAGAAGUGCUUUUGAGCCAGAUCAGGAAGGGCUCAAAGCCUUGCAAAGCAGUUUGGGCUUUUUCUUGAAGGUGAAAGGAAAACCUCUGAAAGAUUUUAUGCAAGGACUGGCCAGACCAUUUUCACAUUUACAAAAUAUAAUGAUGGCAGAAUGGAGCAGCAGUAUGGAGAACAGCUGAGGGGCACAGGUGAUGGACAAGAUGUUUGAUAAAGAGGUGAUUGAAGUAACCCAUCGGAAAAAUAAUGAUGGCCUGAACCAAGUACGUUAGGAGAUGAACUUGAAAGUUAUUAAGAAAGUAGAAUGGGUGCCCCUGAUUUCUAUCUUGCCUUUCUGAUAGCCACUAGAAUGGCAUUUGGUGGCUCCUUUCUCUUUGUGGAUAGACAUGUGUUAUUGGGGGGAAUAAAGGGCCCAGUCAAAAACCUAAGUCUUCCAGACACCGUUGCAAGGGGGCUAAUGAGAUAUGGCCUAAAUGACAGGCUGGGCUUCCGGAAAACUUUUAAUGGGGGCUUACUCAGCUGGAGGUGCCUUAAUUGCAUCUUCCCUCUUUCUCUUUCUUUCUGCCUGGAACUUGGGAAUAGCCAUCUUGAAUGUAGGGAGUGAGUUGAAGGAUUUGAGGAGGGACUCGUUUAUGGCUUGGCUGAAAGGGUAGAUGAUAGUUGCAAGACACGGAACGUAAGGGAGAUUUAGGGGCCAGGAUGGUGCAUUUUGUUUUGUACAUGUUAAGUCUGAGGAAUCUCUACGAUGGCCAGUCUGUGUCCAGGAAACAACGGGAUGUGGACCUGGGCGAGAGAAAUACACCUGGAAACCAUCACUUGCCAGAGAACAGUUGACACGAUGGAAGUGUAUGAGGUCCCUGGGGAGGGUGUCUGAGAAAAGGGCCAAGGGCAGAGCCUGGGGAGCCCAGCACUGGGGCAUGAUGCAGCCCUGAGCAGGACAGGGGAGAAGCAUCCAAGGAGCUGGGGAGACGCCCUGGAGAGGGCAGUGUCCUGGACAUCAAGGACAUUCAGAGGACACAGUGGUCUCUAAUGCCACAGUAAGAAAGGACUUAGGGGACAGUGGGGUCAGGAAGGAAAAUGGCCAGAGGACUGCUGCUUUCUACAAAAAAGACUCUCAGAACCAUCUACACACAGAAGGUGGCCACAGGCGCAAUUUGUGUCAUGAUGCCACCACACUUGUGAUUCUCUGGAGUCUUGUAAUACCCUGUUAUUGGUUCCUUUUUUAAUACAAUUCUCUCUCCCAUCAACUUAUCUAUCUCUCCAACUGUGUCAAUGAUAUAUUUCACUUAAGAUCAAAAUGAAUGCACAUGCAUUAAAUGUUCAUUUUAAGUUCUUUCUUUUUCUUUUUUGAGACGAAGCUUUGCUCUUGUUGCCCAGGCUGGAGUGCAGUGGCGUGAUCUCGAAUCACUGCAAUCUCCACCUCCCGGGUUCAAGCGAUUCUCCUGCCUCAGCCUCCUGAGUAGCUGGGAUUACAGGCAUGCGCCACCAUGCCCGGCUAAUUUUGUAUUUUUAGUAGAGAUGGGGUUUCUCCAUGUUGAUCAGGCUAGUCUCAAACUACUGACCUCAGGUGGUCUGCCCACCUCAGCCUCCCAAAGUGCUGGGUUUACAGGCGUGAGCCCCCUUGCCCAGCCAAGUUAUUUCUUGAUAAAGAGUUUUGGGGGAUCCCUUGUAGCACACCGAUGUGAAACCCAUCGAGACUGGAUUCUGUGUUCUGUUCAUUAAAUACGUCACUGUGAAGGACUCUGAUAGAAGAGAAAAAAGGCUUUUAAAGAAGGUUAAAAAAAAAAGACAAGGCAGUGGGCAAGAAUGCUUUGGUUUUCCUUGUGUGCUGUGGCAGUGGUACCAACAGAAUUUCCUUCCCCCAUGGUGGGACCUAUGAGCUCAGGGCCUCUGCCCUUUGCCACAUGCUGAACUGAGGUAUCAUGAGCUGGAUCUGUCUUCUGUCUCUAAAGUCAAAGUAGGAUGAUGCUUUCUUAACUUCUAAUUUAUUUUCUUAAACUGAGAAGUGAGGAGUAUGUCUUCUGGGGAAUGUCCUCAGAUUGCAUCAGCCAGGAGCCGUGAGGACCAGCUCUCUCCCUGGUCCAGGUCUCUCAAGGAUGCUCAGAGAACCUGUUCUGGCUCUGGGCAGCUUCCUGCUUAGAGUGAUGAAAAUAAUUGUUUUCUCAUCUAAAUGACUGUUGAGCGAUGAACUCAUUGCUUUUAGGUCUCUAAUAGGGCACUCCCCGGGGAACAGGUGAUAGUCCUCAUCUGAAACAAUUUAAUUGGGAAGAGAUUUCACUUGGUAUCUCCAAGAAGGACCCCAGGCCCUGCUUCCAUAAGCAGUGCCUUGCCACAUAGGAGCUGUGGCUGCUUCUUGACCCAUUAGCUAGGUCAAGAGUGUUAAGAACACUCUGAACAUUUACUGGGAACUCACUGGAUGUAAAGUUUCUCUUUAAGAUGUCACAUGGUGACAGAUUCAAGAUAUGAUGCCUGCUCUCGAGUGGCUUAAACUCUCCAUUUGGGUGAAGGUUAGAGAGGAAGAGGGAAAAACACUCUUGUUUGAAUGCAUCAAUUUUAGGCUAAAUAUCUAGAAGCAUAUGCAUUAUAAACACAUGAUCCAUCACAGGUAUAAACAUGAAACUCCACUUAUCUGGUGUUCACUUAUUCAAUCAGCUCAGCUAUCCAGAAAAAAGCUGAGAUCUCAGAGCAGACACAGUUUAUUAAAAAAAAAAAAAAUUAGGAUUCUACAGUUCAAAAACUUUGCUUGCAUUGUUCUGAAUUCAUUUCCUCUUAUUUUGGAUAUAUUCUAGAAAGCUUUUCCAGAACAUACCAGAUUAACGUUGUGGAGGUGAGCUGGCCCAGGCAAUGGCAAUAGACUGCCUAGAAGGAGCUGGCCCAGGCAAUGGCAAUAGACUGCCUACAAGGAGAAGUAAUUUCUGAGGACCUCACAUUAAAGCAAUGGUUCCCACACUUUUCAGACAUGCUUUAGCAUCCUCCGGAUAUCUUUCAUUAAUUUUUAAACUCAGGCCACUCACAAAAUGGAUUAAAUAAUAAUCCCUGGACAUGGGAGUGGGGGGAGGUGGGGAGGUGGGGUGAGCUGGGGGUUGGGUGGGUAAUGGAGGACACACAGGCAUCGGUAGUUUUGGAAGCUACUCAGGUGAUCCAAUGCACAGACAAGAUAGGGAGUUAUUGCAUUGGACGUUAAGGAUGAACAAGCAGAUGUUUCACUGUGUAGUAUUCUGUGGCCAUUUUGUAGUAUUCUACAGCCAUUGCCAUUUUGUGUCAGGGCAAGUACUCUUCACCUUUCUUUUUUUCUUUUUUUCUUUUUUUUUUUUUUUUUGAGAUGGAGUCCUGCUCUGUCACCCAGGCUGGAGUGCAGGAGUGAUCUUGGCUUACUGCAACCUCUGCCUCCCAGAUUCAAUUGAUUCUCCUGCCUCAGCCUCCUGGGUAGCUGGGAUUACAGGCAUGCAUCAUCACGCCCGGUUAAUUUUUGUAUUUUUAGUAGAGAUGGGGUUUCACCAUGUUGGCCAGGCUGGUCUUGAACUCCUGACCUCAGGUGAUCUGCCUGUCUCGGCCUCCCAAAGUGCUGGGAUUACAGGCCUGAGCCACUGCACCUGGCCACCUUUCACCCUUCCAAAAAGCAGCCUGUACCUUCCUUAGGUGCAUGAAGGUGAAACAAUGCCCCGAACAGGCAGGAGGGAUGUGCUUUCCUCCCCAGUCACUGGGAGUCCUGGGAGGUAUCACUGCAUUACAAAUAUAACCCACACCAAAGGCCCCUUUUCUGUCGCACAGAAUCUGUCUCCAAGGAUUCUCUGGAAAUGGAAAGUGGGAACUUGUGGGCCUUUGAGAUGGAGCAUAGUAUAGUUGUCUUCCUUUGGGUUAUAGCCUUCAGAGAGGUGCUCCUUUUCACCUUGUACAGCGUGGGCUACAAGAGGCUCUUGCCACCUUUUGCAUGUGACCAGGGAGGGAAAUGGACACCCCUCACUAGUCAGAGGAUAUUACACAUCAAUGCCCCCCCACAUCAGUGGACGUUUCUUUUCACAACUUCUUUCAUUUCUUCCUGUUUCAGUGUCUAGAACUUCCUGUUGCCACACUCUGCUCCCUUGAACUCCUUUCUAUAGAAAUAAGGGUGUUCUUGUCCCUUCAUCCAUUCUUCAGCCCUAAAAAUUUCACAGCCUCAGUCAUUUGCUAAGGAUCUACCACUUUUUAGCUCUUUCAAGCUGCUGUGGUCACAGCAGAGGAUGAUGUAAGCUCCUCUGCUCCCCUGCAUGGGGCGGGAGGGGCCGGAGAAGUGAGGGAAGAGUGGGGGCCCAGGAUUUCUCCCUUGAUUAUAGAGAUGUGGUGGAGGAUGGGGAGGCAGACGGAAAGAAAAAUGUCCCAGCUCACCCUGGCACAGAGACAUUGUUCCACAAAGAAUGCUCACUAAAAAAAUGUUUAUACUAUCAUAUUAACUUGUAAAAGAGCAAGCUAUAACAUUUUAUGUUCAAUGUAAUACAUUUUUAUUAAGGCAUAACUCCCUAAAAAUGGCUGGGUAAAAGCCUGGAAAGAGAUACACAAAUGUUAGCGGUGGUUGCUUUUUGGACGGUGUGACCAUGGCGAUUAGAAAUAUUUUUUCCCAACUUUUCACAAGAAACAUAUGGCUUUUCUCAUUUUUUUAAAAAAACGGGGUGGGGGAAAGAGCAAUUAUUUUAAGCCAGAAUGUCCAAAAUGAUGCCGUCGAGUCCAACACAAUAUUUUAGACUUUGUUAAUUCCUUUCUGUACAGGAUAGAAGACAAAGGAGGGGCUAAUCUACUUUAGCCAGAUCUAUCAAGCAAAGCAGUGGGAGUUGUUCACAUAUAAGUUCUGUACCCCCUAAAGGAGGCCCAAGUUAGUUUCUUGGCCCAUGUAAUGAAUGCUUUCUCUCUAUUGACUUUCAUUUUUUAAUAUUCUCUGUCAUGUGACAUAACAAGUCAAUGCUCCAUAAAUAUUGGUCAGUUGAAUGAAUUAAAGAAAAUAUUGAUGCUUACAGGCAGAUAGUUUUCUAGAAAAAUCUGCUUAUUUUUCUGAAUAAUUAUGAAAAACGACAUGAUUUCUAUUUUAAAAAAAAGAGAUAAUGUAUCUAUUGUCGACGGACGGUGGAUGUGAGCCAUGUGUUGUGUUCAUACUCGGAGAAUGAAGGAAAACAUCAGAGACUGGGUAAGACAUAAGCAUGAUUUUGAAGAAAUCAAUUGAAAUUUUAUGGAAAGGAACGAGGAUGUUCCAGGCAUGUGGAUUAGCUUAUGCCAAGAUCUGAUGGCUAAAGAAAGGUGAGCAUAGAGGGUGGCCAGGUUGUUGACGGGAGCAGAUGGCGUGGGCUAGAAGGAUCCUGGCAGGGGUCACUGAUAGAUAGAGGAGGAGAGAAACCCGUAGACAAACAGAUUAGAUUUCCCUCUGAUGCUGGUAAAUGCGGAGCUUUUUGUAAGUUUUGGGGGAAAGUGUGUUCCCAAACACAUAUCCUGCUCUCUUGCUCCUCUUUCUAUGGCAAAGGAGGAGAAAUUUCUUCCAGAGACAUAAGCAGGAGGAAGCUGGAGCUCUCUCCUGAGUGAUUGUCAGUUGCAGAGGAGGUGAAUAUCACAGGACAAGCAAGCGUGGGGGAGAAGACUGCCUAGACAUUCUAAAGGUGCAGUAUGGCAUUGAGGAGCGGGGAGAAUUUUAUCCCAUCCAUGGUUAGCUGAAGGGUUCUUCCUCUUCCUCAGCUCCCACACCCUCUCACCCCCACCGCUGAAAUUUCCUGCCUUGUGCUCAUCUUUGUUCCAGAUACUCAUUGCCUGUUUGGCUCUCCUGCACCAUUCCGUUUCUCUGCAAUGGUUCAUUGCUUUCUCAGCAGACUGUGUUUACAGUAUACCCAAGACUGCCCCUACAGUCCUAUCCCGAUAACCACCAAGCCGAUUGCACCCUGACUUAUCUCCGGAGCUCACACUCUUACUUCCAGGCACCUGCUGGACACAUCCUACUAGGUAUCUCUUAGGCACCUCUAUCACAACAUGCCCCAAACUGAAUUCAUUUUCUUCUCCCUCCAAGUCUGCCUGCCGUUUUCUUUGCAGUCUCAGUUUUAACCCCACUGUCAGACAGAACACCGUUUGCCCUUGCCUACCUCUCACUCACCCCCCAUGUCUAGUCAAUCACUGUUCCUGGACCAUUCAUUCUACCUGCAAAAUGUCUGUUGAUGCCGGGCACAGUGGCUCACACCUGUAGUCUCAGCACUUUGGGAGGCCAAGGCGGGUGGAUCACCUGAGGUCAGGAGUUCGAGACCAGCCAGACCAACAUGGUGAAACCCCUUCUCUACUAAAAAUACAAAAUGAGCCGGACGUGGUGGUACAGGCCUGUAAUUCCAGCUAUUCUGGAGGCUGAGGCAGGAGAAUCUCUUAAGCCUGGGAGGCGAAGGUUGCAGCAAGCCGAGAUCGAGCCAGUGCACUCCAGCCUGGGCCGCAAGAACGAAACUCCGUGUCAAAAAAAAAAAAAAAGUCUGUUGCAUCUCUUAGCUUUUCUUUUCCCUGGUGCUAAUUUUGUGUCGUCUCCUGGGUCACUGCUUUCUCCUGGGACAGCAUGCUAACUCUUGCCUUCAAUUCCUCUCUGUUUCUGUUUUUCCAAUCUAUCCUCCUCAUUUCCUGCCAGGAUGAUCUUUCUGAAGCCAAUCGGAUCAUGUCAAUUUUGCUGAAAAAGCACUCAAGCACCCCAAGUCGUGGCCUAAGGAUCAAGCUUCUCAUCUGGCUCAGAAUAUCUUCCCAGCCUCAUCUCACAUUACCUGUGCUCCUUCCUCCCUUUUGCACAGUUCUCCAUCCACACAGAAAUAUUUCCCAUGCCCCAAACAACAGCCUGGCUCCCUUUCCUACUUUUGCACCUGAUUUUUCCCUCAAUCUGGUUUUCCUCUCAUGCCCUGCCUGCGAACCCUGUCUGCAAAAUAGCAUUAUGCACAAGGGGACCCACUGCCCUGCCCCGCUCAUCCUUCCUAGCAGCACUUAAGGCCCCCUCCCUGCAAAGCCUUCUCUGCCCUUUCUCCAAGGUUCGGUUAGAGCUUAAGGACAGCUUAUUUAAUGUGGUUAUCUCUCCUCUACAAUAUCAAUUCUAUGCAAGGAGAGAUCUGAGUUUUAUUCAUCCAGAUCCUAGCACAGAGCCUGGCAUGAAGUAAAUCCUUAAUCUCUGUUUAUUGAAUGAAUGAAUAAAUACAUUCUUUUUUUUUUUUUUUAAAUAAAAGUAUUGGCCGGGCUUGGUGGCUCAUGCCUGUAAUUCCAGCACUUUGGGAGGCCAAGGCUGGUUGCUUGAGCUCAGGAAUUUGAGACCUGCCUGGGCAACAUAGCAAGACCCCAUCUCUAAAAAAAAGAAACCAUAACAACUAGCCAGACAUGGUGGCGCACACCUGUAGUUUCAGCUACUCGGAAGGCUGAGGUGGGAGGAUCACUUGAGCCCAGGAGGUCAAGGCUGCAGUGAGCCAUGAUUGUACCACUGUGCUGGAGCCUGGGCUACAAAGUGAGACCCCAUCUAGAAAAAUAAAUGAGUAAAUAAAUAAAUAUAUUCCUAUUGUUUAAUUCAAUAAUUCCACUUCUGAGAAUGCUUCCUAGAAAAUCAUCCAACAUAUUAGAACAAAAUAAAGAUGUUCCUUGUAGAAUUAUUUAAAUGAUAACUCUUAAAAUAUAUUUGCCCAACAGUUGUGGAAUGGUUAAAUCAAUUAUGAUACUUCUAUUUCCUAGAGUUUUGUACAGAUACGGUGGAAGCUUAUGAAUAAAUAAAUGCUUUAUUCUUCUUAGAUUAACAUUUUUUUUCCUUCCAGAAAGGUCCCAUUUUCUUUAUAACUUUAUCCUUCAAAGGUAGACCUCAGUGGAGCAUUCUUUUUUUUUGUUUUGAAAUAGAGUUUUGCUCUUGUUGCCCAGGCUGGAGUGCAAUGGCACAAUCUCGGCUCACUGCAACCUCCGCCUCUUGGGUUCAAGUGAUUCUCCUGACUCAGUCUCCCAAGUAGCUGGGAUUACAGGUGCCCACCACCACACCUGGCUAAUUUUUUGUGUUUUAGUAGAGAUGGGGUUUCACCACAUUGGCCAGGCUGGUCUCAAACUCCUGACCUCAAGUGAUCUGCACACUUCAGCCUCCCAAAGUGCUGUGAUUACAGCCACCGCGCCCAGCCCAGUAGAACCUUCUUAUCUCCCUCUCCUUACAUUUGCUUAGAGGGAUGAGAGCCUCCUUGCUUGGGGAGGGGAAAGCUAUUGGGGAGGGACAUUACUGGCCUUUUGUCUCCACCUCCCCAGUGGCUGCUCUGGUUGGGUGGACUGAGGGUUCCCUCCUGCAAGUUCCUGCUGAGUGUGGCUGUCCUCAGGAAACCAAGUCCCCUCUGCGGCCCUACGGUAAGUGGCCCUGGCUUCAGAGGAGCUUGCAUUUGACUAGGCCUGCUGUGACUGGUAUGUGGGUUUAAUCAUGGUUUCCUUUUGUGGUGGGGGCAGAUAUUAGAAAACCCAUCUGUUUCCAGCUCUAAGCUUCAGACUCCAAUCGGCUUUAUCAGAAAUAAAGCAGAUAUUUUGAUCUCCAUCUGUCUGAUUCUGAGUCUUUUAAUUGGUCCCACUUGAAGCUGGGUGGGGGCUGGGAAGAGAAUGGGGACAGGAGUGUUAUUUGUUCUUCUAAAACCCCAAUAACUAUUCUCUUAUUCCACAGUGAAGAGAUCAGGAGUUACUCAAAUCCCAGCCAUCGGAAGGAAUCUUAAGCCACAUAUGAUUUCAGAGAAAGUUUCUGCUUUAUAGGGCAAAGGGGUGCCUAGGACUGAGCCUUGUAUGUGCUAAAUGCCUUGUACUAUUGAAAUGAACGAAUAAAGAGGUUUGUGGACAGCAAGCUAUAGUUCAAACUCACAUAUCCUGAGAAAGACAAGUAAUGGAUUUUCCAUUUUCAUCUAUCAGAUGGGCAAAGACCAAAAAGUUUAGUAAUCCACUGUGUUGGAGAGGGUGUGAGAAAAUACACUACCUCAUACAUUGCUGGUAGGAGUGUAUUUUGUUUAAAAUAAUCCAUGUAGGGCAAUUUGGGAGCAUCUAUUUAAAAAUACAUAUGCACAUGGCCUUUGACCCAGCACUUCCGUUUCUAGGAAUUUAUAUUAUGGAUAUACUAGCAUAUGCAAAAUGACAUUAUGUACAAGGGUAUUUAUCAUCAUAUCAUUUAUAAUAGGGCAAAGUUAGGAAUAUUCUAAUUGUCCAACAAUUAGGGAACUUGUUAAAUAAAUGCUGCUGCAUCUUAAUGAAUUUUUUUAGCUAUACAAAAAAAACGAGGACGCUUCUUACAUGCCAACGUGAAGUGAUUUCCAAGAUGCUGAUAAAUGAAAGCAAUCAAAGUGGACAAUAUUGAGUAUGUAAUGCUAGCAUUUAAAAAAGGAGAGAGCAAAAAUGCAUUUGCUUGUAAUGCUUUUAUCUGAAAAUAUAUAAUUGAAACUGAUAACAUUGUUUGCCUCUGGGAAAGAGAACCAGAUGGUUGGAGGGACAAGGUUAGGUGGGAGACUUUGAUAAACAGUAUUUGUACCUUUUGAAUUUUAAACAGCGUAAAUGUUAUUAAAGUUAUAUACUCACAACAAACAAAUGUAUACACUUUGAUUUUUCUUUUCGUUUAUGUGUUUGUUUUAGCAAUGGUGGUUUUGAUAUAUUACCCAGGCUGGAGUACGGUGGCUAUACACAGGCGUGAUCAUCGUGCAUCACAGCCUCAAACUCCUGGGCUCAAGUAUCCUCCUGCUUCAGCCUCCUCAGUAGCUGGGAUUACAGGUGUGUGCCACUUGCACUUAGCUUGAUUUUUAUUUUUAUUGAAAGGAGACCUUUUUAUGACGUGGGAGGAAACGUGGCAUUAGUUUCCUUAGAUAAUAAUUUCUAAGGAUAAUUUAGGAAGCAUGGAUUAUUAAGAAGUAGGCAAAAAGGGUUAACACAGUGGUCAGUGUGCAGGUUCCCAAGUCACACUACUUAGAUUCACAUUCAGGCUCGGUACUUUCUGUGUGACUGUGGGCAAGUUUUCUCUUCAAAUGAGGGAUAAUAAUAGUUCCCAACACCUAGGACUGUGGUGAGGAUAAAAUGAAAGAAUGGGUGUGUAACCUGCAUAAAGUCAGGUCCCACGUGGUCCUGUCUUAGCUUAAAGUCACUUCCAGAGAAAAGAACAAAUUCACAAGGAAGCUUAGUGGAAAGCAAGUCAAGUGUUUACUGUGGUUUCUUAAGAAAAUUUCAACAGCAUAUGCCUAAGAAAUACUAAGCUUUAGAAAAUUUCUUGGCUUCAACUUGCCCACCCCUCACUUCUAACAGAGCAUACUUGAAAAACCCUCCUCAGUGCACUCUUCAUCCCAACAGCAGACUUCUCAUGCUCACCUGCCAUGCUUGCUUUGAGCUAUUUUUGUUUGUUUGUUUCUGCCAGAGGUUCUUCCCAUUGCAAAUAUAAAUCUUGCCUCUCAGGCUUACAGUAUUUUUUCCCCAGUCUGUGAAUUAAGGCCUGUGAGCUGAGGAUAUGGGAAAAUGCCAAGGGAAUCAAGUCAGAAUUUUACUAGUGGAAGUGGAGGUGAGCAGACAUAAGAGAGGAUGGAAAAAAGGGCUUUAAAAAUAUUUUUAUAAUAAUAAUUUUUUGCCGCUGUUACAUAUGGAAGGAACUUAUAACAUUGCUUAGCAUUGUAAGCACUCCAUAAGUCUUAGCUAUUAAUAUUAUUCAUAGUAACCACUUUCCUACAACCUGAUAGUAAUAAUAACACCUAACAUUUACUAAGAGUCUAUUUACUGUGUGUCAAACACAGGUCUAGCACUUUAUGUGAAUUAAUUCUUGUUAGUUUCCCAACACCACCAUGCGGUAGGCCCUUUUAUAACUCCCAUUUUAUAGAUGGGGAAACAGACACAGGGAGAUUAAGUGACUUGGUUGGAGUUACAAAGGAAGAGGGAGAGUCGAGACAGGCAGCCAAGCAGCCUGACUCUAGUUUCCAUCUGAGCCAUCAUUUAUAUUGCCUUGAAUUCACGUUUUCCGUUCUGUUGUAAUGAGUCAGGGAACCAGCCAAUUCAAUCUUCUUAUACUGAAAGUUUUCUGAGGGUUUUCUUCUGCUAGUUUUCACAACCCUUAGUGAUGAGAUCCCAAAUGAGAUAUAUAAGUAAACAGUAAGGAUGGUGGGUGCCUUCAUGUUCCUGGGAGGAUAACUGCUGUCAUUGUCAUUGCCUUAGCUCUUUGGAUACGAAAGCUUUCUGGUUAGGAACCAGAGAGAGGCUCCUACCAAUGAAUUAUUAAUGAAUGCAUUUGAUAUUUUUCUCCAUUGCCUCCCCAAUUGCCUAUCUAAGGAAAACAGUGCUAACCAGAUAAAUUAAAUGCCCUUUUACAAAUUGACCUACUCUGGGG